CGCUGCUCGUGGGAGCAGUGAUUGGAAGCCCGGAAUCUCGGCCCGGAGACUGUCCUCUGAAGGCCUGCUCUGCAGGGUGGGGAAGGCGCCUGCACCACCUACCCAGCACGGCUGUCAGGUUCCACCUGCUCCGGAGCCUGUCAAAGCAGUGGGCAGCGGAGACCACCCAGGCCGGGCCGACCAGGGUGCCCCCGCACAGCAGCACCCCGUUCAGCUUCAGCAUGGCCUGGAGGGCAUGGCACACAGCGGGGAUGACGUCAUGGUCACGGCCACCUGGGGCUCCCCUCCCUGCACCCGCGUGGGGGCGGCCGGGGACUCUGCGUCCAUCCAGAACAGGUAUUUUCCCGCAUGGAUAUUCCACUGUGUGAGACAGAAGCAGCAGGACGUAGGUGAGAUGGAGGCUGUGCGGCUGCACCAGCGAGUGCCCCGUGUUGGCUGCACCUGCUCCUGGCCAGGGUUUCGGGGGCCCCGGGGGAGCUGCUGGGGCCGGGCGGCAGGGCCCGUGGGCCUGGGUCCUGCUGGUGUAUCCAGGGGUGGAAACAGGCAGCCCGACGCCACCAAAGGGCCCGGGACGUGCUGCACGGGGUGAGCAGCGUCUCAGGCAGCCUGGCUGCUCUCCACCCCCGCUCUUGGUUCCCACCCGCCUCCGGGAAAGCCCCAGGCCAGAGGGGACAGCAUUUGAGGUGGCCGCUCUCUGGGCUCCUGGAUGAGGCCGCCCGCACGAUCCUCGGGAGACCAGGGCUGGCGGGGGCGCCUGCUCCCUCCGCCCAGAGCACCCCCUCGCCCUGGAAACCCAGAACUGCCUCUGAGGGAGCAAGAGGAAGCCGCGUGAGACGUGGGCGCCAAGGCAAGCGUUCACGUCCCUGCGGGGGAGGCGCCAGGCGGCUGGGGCGUCUGACCAGCCCUCCCUGUGGGCUCUGGAAGCCACAGCGCUCUAUGGGGACAGGUGGGUUCAUCUAGGGAAGCGAGUUUUUCUCUAAUACCUGCCCCUCCCAUUGCUAAGGCCACAGAGGUCCGAAUGUCCUCUCCCAAGUCCCAACCCCAGGCUUCAGCACCAGCCCUGCCAUGGAGCUGUGAACACGGACGAGACCCCAUGCUCCCCAAGCCUCUGGGGCUGCUCCCGAUGCUGUGCUGACCGUCCAGACACCCGCUGACCGAGGAGAAUGUGGGAAAGACACGCACGAGUGCCCUGCCAGUUUCAGGGGCCUCGUCAGAAGCAGUGAUUCCCCAGGGAUCUUUAGGCCAGUGAGAAACAACUCAGUGUUACUGUGAGAAUAAAACAAGGUGAAAACGGC